AGGAUUUGUUAGAACACUCCCGGG
rnacentral:piRNA from 1 species